GAUGAACGCUAGCGGCAGGCCUAACACAUGCAAGUCGAGGGAGAAGCCCUUUCGGGGGCAGAAACCGGCGCACGGGUGCGUAACGCGUAUGCAACCUACCUUUCACAGGGGGAUAGCCCGAAGAAAUUUGGAUUAAUACCCCAUAAUAUUAUUGGAUGGCAUCAUUUGAUAAUUAAAACUGCGGUGGUGAAAGAUGGGCAUGCGUCCUAUUAGCUAGUUGGAGUGGUAACGGCACCCCAAGGCUACGAUAGGUAGGGGUCCUGAGAGGGAGAUCCCCCACACUGGUACUGAGACAGGGACCAGACUCCUACGGGAGGCAGCAGUGAGGAAUAUUGGUCAAUGGUCGGAAGACUGAACCAGCCAUGCCGCGUGCAGGAAGAAUGCCUUAUGGGUUGUAAACUGCUUUUAAAUGGGAAGAAUAAGGCGUACGUGUACGUUGAUGACGGUACCAUAUGAAUAAGCAUCGGCUAACUCCGUG
rnacentral:rRNA from 1 species